rnacentral:rRNA from 1 species
UACGGAGGGUGCGAGCGUUGUCCGGAAUCACUGGGCGUAAAGGGCGCGUAGGCGGCGCGGGAAGUCAUCGGUGAAAGCUCAGGCUCAACUCUGAGUCGGCCGGUGAUACUCUCGUGCUUGAGCACUGUAGAGGCAGGUGGAAUUCCGGGUGUAGCGGUGGAAUGCGUAGAGAUCCGGAAGAACACCGGUGGCGAAGGCGGCCUGCU